GGUAGUUCUUGGGUGACGCAGCCCGGAAUCAGGCUUCCUCCUCUCUAGUUCCAGGUGCAUCACCUGAGAACCGCA
rfam:Myotis davidii contig16278, whole genome shotgun sequence.